GCUACCUCAUUUGUGCCGCCCUGAGGUUAAAUGAGAAAGGGAACGUGCUGGAGCAAUGUCAACGAUGUUUUCGUUUCUCUAGGUAUCGCUGCUGUCCUCAGCUCUCCUGGAUCUUCCGCCCACCCUGCCCAGGGCCUCUUCUCCAUACUAAUUCUUGGUGGAGCAGUCGGGGCGGCUUUACAGGGGCAUCCUCAGCUACACCUUUCGUCAUAAGGAACGUAUGUGCAUUGAUGGAGCUCACCUAGUGCCAAGAGAGCGGCAAAAGGCAUUGAAAUAAGAAGCAACUUCCUGCCAGCGGCAAGUACCUCUUGGUGGAGGUUGGAGCCAUGUCGAUGCUGCCCUACUUGUCGAGGCCGGCGUGUGCUGACGGCACAGGGACUGACACUCUGGGCUCACAGCCCACAUGGAGCCAAGGGGGGAGGCUCUUUCGCUGAGGUGCCCAUGGUGACAUCAGAAGCUUGCUCCUCAGCUAACACCAGGAAGGCCAUGCAUGUGAGCAGCCCGGCUUCUGAACCUGAUCCUGGCGUUGGUUAGACUCACCGGAUAAUAAAGAAAAAUGGGACUCUCUCUAGGGGACUCUUUUUUUUUUUUGGUAAGCUGGGGCAUCUCUAAGGACAGUGUUUGGCACAAAAUGAAACACUCUCUGGGCUUUUCAGAAGUGCUUUUUCACAUCUGUUUUGCUCUAAGUGGAACGCAUUCGAAGUAUAUUACUUUCUUGAACAUUUUGUCCCCCUGCUCGAGUGGAGUGUGUCUGCCUCUUGAUACUUCCAAAUCCCCUCGAUGACCAGUGCCAGGAGCCCCUGAAAUCAGGUCUCAUUCUCUCUCUUCCCCUCUCGACCU